GGUUAAGCGACUAAGCGUACACGGUGGAUGCCCUGGCAGUCAGAGGCGAUGAAGGGCGUGCUAAUCUGCGAUAAGCGCCGGUAAGGUGAUAUGAACCGUUAUAACCGGCGAUACCCGAAUGGAUGGGGAAACC
rnacentral:rRNA from 1 species